rnacentral:rRNA from 1 species
UACGGGGGGGGCAAGCGUUGUUCGGAAUUACUGGGCGUAAAGGGCUCGUAGGUGGCCAACUAAGUCGGACGUGAAAUCCCUCGGCUUAACCGGGGAACUGCGUCCGAUACUGGUUGGCUUGAGUUUGGGAGAGGGAUGCGGAAUUCCAGGUGUAGCGGUGAAAUGCGUAGAUAUCGGGAGGAACACCAGUGGCGAAGGCGACUACCUGGCCCAUUCUUGACGCUGAGGCGCGAAAGCUAGGGGAGCGAACGGG